GAAUGGUCCCUUACAUAUGUGCUAAUUACUUAUGCGAAACAACCUGUUCCACGUUGCAUUUUGCUGUGACACCCCGAGUACCUUUCCCAGACCUGAAGAAGAGCUCUGUCUAGACUCCAAAGCGUGUCUAUUUC